rnacentral:rRNA from 1 species
UGGGGAAUUUUGGACAAUGGGCGAAANCCUGAUCCAGCAAUGCCGCGUGUGUGAAGAAGGCCUUCGGGUUGUAAAGCACUUUUGUCCGGAAAGAAAUCCUUGGCUCUAAUACAGUCGGGGGAUGACGGUACCGGAAGAAUAAGCACCGGCUAACUACGUGCCAGCAGCCGCGGUAAUACGUAGGGUGCAAGCGUUAAUCGGAAUUACUGGGCGUAAAGCGUGCGCAGGCGGUUUGCUAAGACCGAUGUGAAAUCCCCGGGCUCAACCUGGGAACUGCAUUGGUGACUGGCAGGCUAGAGUAUGGCAGAGGGGGGUAGAAUUCCACGUGUAGCAGUGAAAUGCGUAGAGAUGUGGAGGAAUACCGAUGGCGAAGGCAGCCCCCUGGGCAAUACUGACGCUCAUGCACGAAAGCGUGGGGAGCAAACAGGAUUAGAUACCCUGGUAGUCCACGCCCUAAACGAUGUCAACUAGUUGUUGGGGAUUCAUUCCUUAGUAACGUAGCUAACGCGUGAAGUUGACCGCCUGGGGAGUACGGUCGCAAGAUUAAAACUCAAAUGAAUUGACGGGGUC